ACCCAGCUCACUCGGUAGAGCAUGAGACUCUUAAUAUCAAGGUUGUGGGUUCGCGCCCCAUGUUGGGCA